rnacentral:rRNA from 1 species
GAUGAACGCUAGCGGCAGGCCUAAUACAUGCAAGUCGAACGGUGUCUUCGGACAUAGUGGCGCACGGGUGCGUAACACGUAUGCAACCUACCUUACAUUGGGGGAUAGUCUUUCGAAAGGGAGAUUAAUACCGCAUAAGACAGUAGCUGGGCAUCCAGCAGCUGUUAAAGAUUUAUCGAUGUAAGCUGGGCAUGCGUCCAAUUAGCUAGUUGGUGAGGUAACGGCUCACCAAGGCAAUGAUUGGUAGGGGAACUGAGAGGUCAAUCCCCCACACUGGCACUGAGAUACGGGCCAGACUCCUACGGGAGGCAGCAGUAGGGAAUAUUGGGCAAUGGACGCAAGUCUGACCCAGCCAUGCCGCGUGCAGGAUGAAGGCGUUAUGCGUUGUAAACUGCUUUUAUACAGGAAGAAACGACUCUUGCGAGAGGCAUUGACGGUACUGUAUGAAUAAGCACCGGCUAACUCCGUGCCAGCCGCCGCUGUAAUAC